GGGAUACAGCAAGGGAAGGGGGACCUGGGUUCAGAGUGGCCCACAUGCACAUCCACCUUUGGGCACUUGGGCCCCCCGGCUAUGUGGCCUCUCUGAGCCUAAACAUCGCCACCUUUAAAGUGGGCUCACUGGCACCUACCGUGCAGGCUGCCAAGCCCAGGCCCUGACAAGGACUGCAGCCCCAGGCCAAGGUCGCCUUUACGGGGAACGAGGCCUCCAGAGCCUACGCCUGGCUGACCUUGGGCAACUUAACCUCUCUGAGCUUCAGUUUCUCAUUGACACAAUGGGGAAGAUGAAACAGUAUCCAUUUCAAACUGAGCUUGUGAGGAUUAAAAUGAGAUUGUGCCUGGAACGCGCUAGAAACAGCAUCUGACGCCAGAAAGUGGUCAACGACUGUUCCCCCUUCUACCGUUACUGUAAAUACUGGAGACCAGUCAGCCUCCCAUCUUGAUCCCGGAGAUGCCUCCCGACCGUCCCCCGUGACAUCGCCCUUUGGCCCGAGUCCAAGGGAGACCCACAUCCCAGCCAGAACCCUGACAAGGCACAGGCACCACCACACGGAAGGAAGGGCCGCAGCCCUGCUGCCCGCCCUCCCCACCCUCUCAGCGAAUCAGGAAGGGGCGCCCCAUUCUCAAGGGACUAUAUUGCCCCCAGACUGUAAUCAUAAGUACACAACUCUUCCCCGUGAAUGUGCCCUCCAGAGCCAGGCGGCACAUGACCGGCCCCACAAGAGGGACAGAGAGCCCUGCGGCCCAGACACCCGCGGGGUCUGCACCUUCCCCAGCAACCAUCGCUGCCUGUGCCCCCCACCCCUCCUCUGAGCUGUCUCACUGGCCAAUUCCCUGCAAUUCUAAUCCCUGAUAAUAAUUCUGUAUAUUGAACUUUCUCUCUUCAAAUCACCAUGUGACUUUUGUCUCUUGAUUGAGCCUUGACUAAUAAAGGCCGCCUUUUUUUUUUUUUUCUUUUGGCCGCACUGCUUGGCAUGCGGGAUCUCAGUUCCCCAUCCAGGGAUUGAACCUGUGCCUCCUGCAGUGGGAGCUCGGAUUCUUAACCACUGCACCACCAGGGAAUUCUCUAAAGGACGCCUGGUAGCCAUCAGCACAGAAAUAAAGUCGGAUGCCUCCAGCCUCACUCAGUGCACCUAAUUACAUUCCAGGAGAAUCAAAGUUAAAUUUGAUUCCAGGAGAAUCAAAAUUAAAUACAAACACGAGGGACUUCCCUGGUGGCGCAGUGGUUAAGAAUCUGCCUGCCUAUGCCGGGGACAUGGGUUCGAGCCCUGGUCCGGGAAGAUCCCACAUGCUGCGGAGCAACUAAACCUGUGAGCCACAACUACUGAGCCUGCGCUCUAGAACCCGCAAGCCACAACUACUGGGCCCGCGUGCCACAGCGACUGAGCCCACGCACCUAGAGCCGCAAAGAGAAGCCUGCGCACCAAGACGAAGAGCAGCCCCCGCUCACUGCAACUAGAGAAAGCCCGCGUGCAGCAAUGAAGACCCAACGCAGCCAAAAAUUAGGGGAAAAAAAAAAUACAAACACGAAACCUUGAGAACAUUAAGAAAGCGAGCAUGGAAAGAAACUUUUUUACAAGAAGGGAAAGCCUUUCUGGGCAUGACUAAAAACCCCUAAACUCCCAUAAAAGAUGAAUAAUUUCAUAGUAUAAAUGGCAAAACACAACAUAAACCAAAUCAAAAGACAGAAAGCUAGGAAAAACAUUUUCAACCCUUAUCCCAGGCUAACUUUCUUAAUAUAUCUCUAUAUAAAGAGCCCUUGCAAAUAAAUUUUUAAAAUACCAACAACCCAAUAGAAAAAGGACAUAAACACACCCAUCUGAGAAAAUAAAACUACAAAGGUUAUUAAACAUAUAAAAAGAUCUUUGACAUCAUACAUAGUAAGAGAAAUAUAAAUUACACCACCAUACCAUUUUUACCCUAAACUGGACCUGAAGAGAGUGUGUUUAAGAGGGAUGGUGGUGCUGGUGUGGCCCUCUGCUGGCGGGAAGAUGGACUGUCCCCUCAUGAGGGACCCUUGGCAAGAAUGGUCAAGAUGACCAAUGCUCAGCCUUAGCUGCAGGGCAUCUUCCUGCUGGCCCCUACCCAGGAGGGGAAAUGAGGAAACCGCAGGAGUUCCGGGCAUCCUGUUAGGGUAACGAGAUCCUGAGAACGACUGGACACCCACUGGUGUGGCCCAGCUGCACCCCCAAAAAGGGCACUGUCCAGUCACCAAGAGGGGGGCAGCUCUGCCCGAGAAGCAAAACAAACUUCAGGGUGCAGGAGAGGCAGGGUAGGGGAGUGGUCAGCUUGGACAGAAUGGCCCCAGGGAGGAGGGGGGCGGGUAGUCACCACUCAGUUCCUUGGCCUCAUCUGCAAAAUAGGAGGCUGAUCGCGCCCCCUUCUGGAGUCGGGGUGAUAACAGCACACGAAGAGUGUAUUCCUCAGAAGUGCUGGGUAAAGGCCAGCUUUCACUGAUCCUUGGUAGCAAAAAGCAAGGCUCAGAGAGGAGCUGUCAUUACCUUCAGAUGCUAUCAUGCAGGGUUU